rnacentral:lncRNA from 1 species
UGAUGAGGAUAAUGAACACCAGGAAAAGGAAGCCAAAGAUGUAGUAGAACUGGUGAAGCCAAAUCGAUGUGAGGAUGAAGAAGAGCUCAAUAAAGACAGCCCCAAAUGGAAGAAUGCCACCAAUAAGAACGGUGAAGGCAGGGUUCAUGUACCAAGACUGCUCAGGGAUCUGUCUUGGGAUCUUGUUAGUCUUCACCGGAGCCUCAAUGGCAGGUUGCUUGAAGCCCAGGUAGCUCCCAACAAAUACAAGAGGAACUGAGAUACCAAACCAUAGGAGGACCAAGGCAAACAUUGUGGUGAAAGGAACAGCACCAGACGACUUCUCCCCCCAUAUAAGAGCAUUCAGGAUGAAGAAAAUACUGAAAGCAAUCCCAGGAAACAGGAAGGCAGUCUUUAGGGUGAUACUCUUCCAUUCUGAUCCUUUAAACAUCUUAUAGAAGCGUGAAGAAGCAUAUCCAGC